rnacentral:misc_RNA from 1 species
GAUAAGAACGUAGCAAAAUGCGAUAAGUAAUGUGAAUUGCAGAAUUCAGUGAAUCAUCGAAUCUUUGAACGCACAUUGCGCCCGCCAGUAUUCUGGCGGGCAUGCCUGUUCGAGCGUCAUUUCAACCCUCAAGCACAGCUUGGUGUUGGGACUCGCGUUAAUUCGCGUUCCUCAAAUUGAUUGGCGGUCACGUCGAGCUUCCAUAGCGUAGUAGUAAAACCCUCGUUACUGGUAAUCGUCGCGGCCACGCCGUUAAACCCCAACUUCUGAAUGUUGACCUCGGAUCAGGUAGGAAUACCCGCUGAACUUAAGCAUAUCAAUAAGCGGAGGA